UAGAGUUUGAUCAUGGCUCAGAUUGAACGCUGGCGGUAUGCUUAACACAUGCAAGUCGAACGGAAACGAUACUAGCUUGCUAGUAGGCGUCGAGUGGCGGACGGGUGAGUAACGCGUAGGAAUCUGCCUGAUAGUGGGGGAUAGCCCGGAGAAAUUCGGAUUAAUACCGCAUAAUCUAUUCGUAGUAAAGUGGGGGACUUUCGAGCCUCACGCUAUCAGAUGAGCCUGCGUAAGAUUAGCUUGUUGGUAGGGUAAAAGCCUACCAAGGCGACGAUCUUUAGCUGGUCUGAGAGGAUGAUCAGCCACAUCGGGACUGAGACACGGCCCGAACUCCUACGGGAGGCAGCAGUGGGGAAUAUUGGACAAUGGGGGCAACCCUGAUCCAGCAAUACCGCGUGUGUGAAGAAGGCCUGAGGGUUGUAAAGCACUUUCAAUUGUGAAGAAAAGUUAACGGUUAAUAACCGUUAGCCUUGACGUUAACUUUAGAAGAAGCACCGGCUAACUCCGUGCCAGCAGCCGCGGUAAUACGGAGGGUGCAAGCGUUAAUCGGAAUUACUGGGCGUAAAGCGUGCGUAGGUGGUUUAUUAAGUCAGAUGUGAAAGCCCCGGGCUUAACCUGGGAACUGCAUUUGAAACUGGUAAACUAGAGUAUGGUAGAGGAAAGUGGAAUUUCUGGUGUAGCGGUGAAAUGCGUAGAUAUCAGAAGGAACAUCAAUGGCGAAGGCAGCUUUCUGGACCAAUACUGACACUGAGGUACGAAAGCGUGGGUAGCAAACAGGAUUAGAUACCCUGGUAGUCCACGCCGUAAACGAUGAUAACUAGCCGUUGGGGGGAUUUACCCUUUAGUGGCGAAGCUAACGCGUUAAGUUAUCCGCCUGGGGAGUACGGCCGCAAGGUUAAAACUCAAAGGAAUUGACGGGGACCCGCACAAGCGGUGGAGCAUGUGGUUUAAUUCGAUGCAACGCGAAGAACCUUACCUGGUCUUGACAUCCUGCGAACUUUCUAGAAAUAGAUUGGUGCCUUCGGGAACGCAGUGACAGGUGCUGCAUGGCUGUCGUCAGCUCGUGUCGUGAGAUGUUGGGUUAAGUCCCGUAACGAGCGCAACCCCUAUCCUUAUUUGCCAGCACAUUAUGGUGGGAACUAUAAGGAGACUGCCGGUGAUAAACCGGAGGAAGGCGGGGACGACGUCAAGUCAUCAUGGCCCUUACGACCAGGGCUACACACGUGCUACAAUGGGAAGGACAAAGAGCCGCGAAGCCGCGAGGUGUAGCUAAUCUCAUAAACCUUUUCGUAGUCCGGAUUGGAGUCUGCAACUCGACUCCAUGAAGUCGGAAUCGCUAGUAAUCGUAGAUCAGAAUGCUACGGUGAAUACGUUCCCGGGUCUUGUACACACCGCCCGUCAUACCAUGGGAGUGGGUUGCACCAGAAGUGGCUAGUCUAACUUAGUGAGGACGGUCACCACGGUGUGAUUCAUGACUGGGGUAAAGUCGUAACAAGGUA
rnacentral:rRNA from 1 species